AUUAAACGCUGGCGGCAUGCCUUACACAUGCAAGUCGAACGGCAGCACGGGGGCAACCCUGGUGGCGAGUGGCGAACGGGUGAGUAAAGCAUCGGAACGUGCCCUGGAGUGGGGGGAUAACGUAGCGAAAGUUACGCUAAUACCGCAUAUUCUGUGAGCAGGAAAGCAGGGGAUCGCAAGACCUUGCGGGCUCUGGGAGCGGCCGAUGUCGGAUUAGCUAGUUGGUGGGGUAAAGGCCUACCAAGGCGACGAUCCGUAGCGGGUCUGAGAGGAUGAUCCGCCACACUGGGACUGAGACACGGCCCAGACUCCUACGGGAGGCAGCAGUGGGGAAUUUUGGACAAUGGGCGAAAGCCUGAUCCAGCCAUGCCGCGUGAGUGAAGAAGGCC
rnacentral:rRNA from 1 species